AUCAAUUUACAUUAUAUUUUACAACCACUUAUAAUUGAUUACAUUAUAUUUCCUAAAUUACAAUUAGUACAUGACACGACUAAAUAGUUGAAAUUACUUUAUGGCACAUAAUUAGAUUGACCAUUAUCACAAUCCAUAGGUAUAUACGCAUAUAUAUAUAUAUAUAUAUCAAACAUUUCAGACGUACCUACGUAGAAUAAUUAUUUCACAGAUAAUUAAUAAUAAUGGAUAUAUAUAUAAUCUAUAAAGAGUAUUGACUUGAGAGAUGAUGGAUCUAGUCUUGGCCCUGACUUGAAGGUCCGAUAGAGUGACCAACACCGGGACUAUGCCCAGGAGUGGUUGGGCGGAGGUCGUCGGUCUCAGCGGCAACGUAGGGCGCAUCGGGUGCAUGUAUUGUUCGUGGGAAGGUUGCAGCUGCUUGUCCACCCACAGCUUUGUGGCGCAAGUUUACAUGAUUAAGCUCGCCACCUUCCUUCAAAAGAGGUCUGCUUGCCUCUGUCAACACAAUUAAUCCAUAAGAAACAAUUAUCAUUAUGACAAAAAUACCAGUUAAAAUGAGCUUCUUCAAGCUAGCCAUCUGUUACUAGAUGUUAUAUUUUAUGUAAGUAAAUAUAUAUGUGUUUAUGAGUGUGUUUGUAUAUGAGAGAGAGAGAGAGAGAGAGAAAGGGAAGGAGAAGAAAAAGAAGAAGAAGUUAAUUCAGUGCUUGCUAAGUAAGUAAAGAGGGAUGUGUUUGAAAGGUGGUGUGCCUGGGUAUUUAUAGAGCAGCAAUGCAUGAACAUAAACCAUUUCAAAUGCUUUUGAAAUCAUUUUGUCUCCUCAAUUUUUCUAUGGAGACAACUGUUGGUUAUUACACUUGGAACACAUU
rnacentral:lncRNA from 1 species